rnacentral:tRNA from 1 species
UAGAGGGUAGUAUAAAUAGUACGGAAAGCUGUUAACUUUUUAGUGUGAAUUGAAGAUUUGCCUCUUUAG